UUGAAAUUUUUACCAUUAAAUGUAUUUCAAAUUCAGUUUUGGAUCUUAAUUUGAUGAAAUAUUCAGAACUUGUGACAUUUAGGAGCAAUAAAAAUGCUGUGUUAAGGGUGAAUCGUUUUGUGCGAAUAUGUUCCUCCUUAUAUCAGAAUUCUUUUCAGUUUGGUUCUACAGUUAUAUCUUGGAAAAACUUCUUCCAUACACUGUCUAUUUAGUAAUUAUGUUAUUGACCUUACAUGUAGUAACCUAAAAUGCAAUAGUAUCC
rnacentral:lncRNA from 1 species